rnacentral:rRNA from 1 species
AGAGUUUGAUCCUGGCUCAGAACGAACGCUGGCGGCAGGCUUAACACAUGCAAGUCGAACGGUUGUAGCAAUACAGCAGUGGCAGACGGGUGAGUAACACGUGGGAACCUUCCUAGGGGUACGGAACAACUCAGGGAAACUUGAGCUAAUACCGUAUACGUCCGUGAGGAGAAAGUUUUAACGCCCCUAGACGGGCCCGCGUAGGAUUAGGUAGUUGGUGAGGUAACGGCUCACCAAGCCUACGAUCCUUAGCUGAUCUGAGAGGAUGAUCAGCCACACUGGGACUGAGACACGGCCCAGACUCCUACGGGAGGCAGCAGUGGGGAAUCUUGGACAAUGGGCGCAAGCCUGAUCCAGCCAUGCCGCGUGAGUGAAGAAGGCCUUCGGGUUGUAAAGCUCUUUUGGCGGGGACGAUAAUGACGGUACCCGCAGAAUAG